rnacentral:lncRNA from 1 species
GUGGGUAUGGCCUGGCAUUGUUCCAUGGUCAUGGGAGCAGGAGUACGUACGGCUUGGUGUGCUAAUGAAAAUGAGGCAUCAGCAGUGAGAGCAGCUUGGUGAGCCAUGAGAUAUUCAUGGGCAAGGAGAAGACCGUGAACAUCUUCAAGGCUAUAGUCAGCCAGACAGAUGGUGAUUACAGCCACGAUAGAGUUGAAGUUGGAAACCAGACCUGUAAGUACUUGGACGAUCAAUUUAACCUUCGAGAGAGGUUGGCCGAUGGAGCUCAGACUGUCAGCUACAGACUUCAUUUCAUGAAUAUAUUCUAUCACAGAGGCAAUCCCUUCUUCAUAGAGAGGAAGCGGGAUCGGAGAUGAAGUGCUCUUGCACUUGAUGCAGAUGCAAAUGCACGAGGGAGUGCAUCCUAGACCUCUUCGGAAGUCUUAAGGCCAGCAAUAAGAGUAAUGAGCGAAUCGUGAAGGGAGUUUACCAGCCACGUAAGGACCUGUUGGUCCUUGUUAACCCAAGCAACAUACUCUGGAUUGAGAGUUUUGACGAUGGUGGCCGGAUCAGUA